UACGUAGGGGGCAAGCGUUGUCCGGAUUUAUUGGGCGUAAAGAGCGUGUAGGCGGCCAUACAGGUCCGUUGUGAAAACUGGAGGCUUAACCUCCAGACGUCGAUGGAAACCGUAUGGCUAGAGUCCGGAGGAGGAGAGUGGAAUUCCUGGUGUAGCGGUGAAAUGCGCAGAUAUCAGGAAGAACACCCGUGGCGAAGGCGGCUCUCUGGGACGGUACUGACGCUGAGACGCGAAAGCGUGGGGAGCGAACAGG
rnacentral:rRNA from 1 species